GGAAUAUUGCACAAUGGGCGAAAGCCUGAUGCAGCGACGCCACGUGAGGGAUGACGGCCUUCGGGUUGUAAACCUCUUUCAGCAGGGAAGAAGCGCAAGUGACGGUACCUGCAGAAGAAGCGCCGGCUAACUACGUGCCAGCAGCCGCGGUAAUACGUAGGGCGCAAGCGUUGUCCGGAAUUAUUGGGCGUAAAGAGCUCGUAGGCGGUCUGUCGCGUCUGGUGUGAAAUCCCAUGGCUCAACUGUGGGCUGGCAUCGGGUACGGGCAGACUAGAGUGCUGUAGGGGAGACUGGAAUUCCUGGUGUAGCGGUGGAAUGCGCAGAUAUCAGGAGGAACACCGAUGGCGAAGGCAGGUCUCUGGGCAGUUACUGACGCUGAGGAGCGAAAGCAUGGGGAGCGAACAGGA
rnacentral:misc_RNA from 1 species